GACGAACGCUGGCGGCGUGCUUAACACAUGCAAGUCGAACGGAAAGGCCCUGCUUUUGUGGGGUGCUCGAGUGGCGAACGGGUGAGUAACACGUGAGUAACCUGCCCUUGACUUUGGGAUAACUUCAGGAAACUGGGGCUAAUACCGGAUAGGAGCUCCUGCUGCAUGGUGGGGGUUGGAAAGUUUCGGCGGUUGGGGAUGGACUCGCGGCUUAUCAGCUUGUUGGUGGGGUAGUGGCUUACCAAGGCUUUGACGGGUAGCCGGCCUGAGAGGGUGACCGGCCACAUUGGGACUGAGAUACGGCCCAGACUCCUACGGGAGGCAGCAGUGGGGAAUAUUGCACAAUGGGCGGAAGCCUGAUGCAGCAACGCCGCGUGCGGGAUGACGGCCUUCGGGUUGUAAACCGCUUUCGCCUGUGACGAAGCGUGAGUGACGGUAAUGGGUAAAGAAGCACCGGCUAACUACGUGCCAGCAGCCGCGGUGAUACGUAGGGUGCGAGCGUUGUCCGGAUUUAUUGGGCGUAAAGGGCUCGUAGGUGGUUGAUCGCGUCGGAAGUGUAAUCUUGGGGCUUAACCCUGAGCGUGCUUUCGAUACGGGUUGACUUGAGGAAGGUAGGGGAGAAUGGAAUUCCUGGUGGAGCGGUGGAAUGCGCAGAUAUCAGGAGGAACACCAGUGGCGAAGGCGGUUCUCUGGGCCUUUCCUGACGCUGAGGAGCGAAAGCGUGGGGAGCGAACAGGCUUAGAUACCCUGGUAGUCCACGCUGUAAACGGUGGGUACUAGGUGUGGGGUCCAUUCCACGGGUUCCGUGCCGUAGCUAACGCUUUAAGUACCCCGCCUGGGGAGUACGGCCGCAAGGCUAAAACUCAAAGGAAUUGACGGGGCCCCGCACAAGCGGCGGAGCAUGCGGAUUAAUUCGAUGCAACGCGUAGAACCUUACCUGGGUUUGACAUGGAUCGGGAGUGCUCAGAGAUGGGUGUGCCUCUUUUGGGGUCGGUUCACAGGUGGUGCAUGGCUGUCGUCAGCUCGUGUCGUGAGAUGUUGGGUUAAGUCCCGCAACGAGCGCAACCCUUGUUCACUGUUGCCAGCACGUUAUGGUGGGGACUCAGUGGAGACCGCCGGGGUCAACUCGGAGGAAGGUGGGGAUGACGUCAAGUCAUCAUGCCCCUUAUGUCCAGGGCUUCACGCAUGCUACAAUGGCUGGUACAGAGAGUGGCGAGCCUGUGAGGGUGAGCGAAUCUCGGAAAGCCGGUCUCAGUUCGGAUUGGGGUCUGCAACUCGACCUCAUGAAGUCGGAGUCGCUAGUAAUCGCAGUUCAGCAACGCUGCGGUGAAUACGUUCCCGGGGCU
rnacentral:rRNA from 1 species